rnacentral:rRNA from 1 species
GACGGGGAGCACCACAACGGUGGAGCUUGCGGUUUAAUUGGAUUCAACGCCGGAAAUCUUACCGGGACCGACAGCAAUAUGAAGGCCAGGCUGAAGACUUUGCCGGAUUAGCUGAGAGGUGGUGCAUGGCCGUCGUCAGUUCGUACUGUGAAGCAUCCUGUUAAGUCAGGCAACGAGCGAGACCCACGCCCACAGUUGCCAGCGUACUCUCUGGAGUGACGGGUACACUGUGGGACCGCCGCUGCUAAAGCGGAGGAAGGAAUGGGCAACGGUAGGUCAGUAUGCCCCGAAUAUCCCGGGCUACACGCGAGCUACAAUGGUUGGUACAAUGGGUAUCUACCCCGAAAGGGGACGGGAAUCUCCUAAAACCAAUCUUAGUUCGGAUUGAGGGCUGCAACUCGCCCUCAUGAAGCUGGAAUCCGUAGUAAUCGCGUUUCAACAGAACGCGGUGAAUACGUCCCUGCUCCUU